rnacentral:rRNA from 1 species
UACGUAGGGGGCAAGCGUUGUCCGGAAUCAUUGGGCGUAAAGCGCGUGUAGGCGGCUUGGUAAGUCCGCUCUGAAAGCCCGGGGCUCAACCCCGGGAGGCGGGUGGAUACUGUCAAGCUCGAGUCCGGAAGAGGCGAGUGGAAUUCCCGGUGUAGCGGUGAAAUGCGCAGAUAUCGGGAGGAACACCAAUGGCGAAGGCAGCUCGCUGGGACGGUACUGACGCUGAGACGCGAAAGCGUGGGGAGCGAACAGG